rnacentral:rRNA from 1 species
UUGGUGUUACUGCGAAGGGGGGACGGAGAAGGCUAUGUUGGCCGGGCGACGGUUGUCCCGGUUUAAGCGUGUAGGUGUGUGUUCCAGGUAAAUCCGGUUCACUUUAACACUGAGGCGUGAUGACGAGGCACUACGGUGUUGAAGCAACAAAUGCCCUGCUUCCAGGAAAAGCCUCUAAGCAUCAGGUAACAUCAAAUCGUACCCCAAACCGACACAGGUGGUCAGGUAGAGAAUACCAAGGCGCUUGAGAGAACUCGGGUGAAGGAACUAGGCAAAAUGGUGCCGUAACUUCGGGAGAAGGCACGCUGACACGUAGGUGAAGUGAUUUACUCAUGGAGCUGAAGUCAGUCGAAGAUACCAGCUGGCUGCAACUGUUUAUUAAAAACACAGCACUGUGCAAACACGAAAGUGGACGUAUACGGUGUGACGCCUGCCCGGUGCCGGAAGGUUAAUUGAUGGGGUCAGCGCAAGCGAAGCUCCUGAUCGAAGCCCCGGUAAACGGCGGCCGUAACUAUAACGGUCCUAAGGUAGCGAAAUUCCUUGUCGGGUAAGUUCCGACCUGCACGAAUGGCGUAAUGAUGGCCAGGCUGUCUCCACCCGAGACUCAGUGAAAUUGAACUCGCUGUGAAGAUGCAGUGUACCCGCGGCAAGACGGAAAGACCCCGUGAACCUUUACUAUAGCUUGACACUGAACAUUGAGCCUUGAUGUGUAGGAUAGGUGGGAGGCUUUGAAGCGUGGACGCCAGUCUGCGUGGAGCCGACCUUGAAAUACCACCCUUUAAUGUUUGAUGUUCUAACGUGGACCCGUGAUCCGGGUUGCGGACAGUGUCUGGUGGGUAGUUUGACUGGGGCGGUCUCCUCCUAAAGAGUAACGGAGGAGCACGAAGGUUGGCUAAUCCUGGUCGGACAUCAGGAGGUUAGUGCAAUGGCAUAAGCCAGCUUGACUGCGAGCGUGACGGCGCGAGCAGGUGCGAAAGCAGGUCAUAGUGAUCCGGUGGUUCUGAAUGGAAGGGCCAUCGCUCAACGGAUAAAAGGUACUCCGGGGAUAACAGGCUGAUACCGCCCAAGAGUUCAUAUCGACGGCGGUGUUUGGCACCUCGAUGUCGGCUCAUCACAUCCUGGGGCUGAAGUAGGUCCCAAGGGUAUGGCUGUUCGCCAUUUAAAGUGGUACGCGAGCUGGGUUUAGAACGUCGUGAGACAGUUCGGUCCCUAUCUGCCGUGGGCGCUGGAGAACUGAGGGGGGCUGCUCCUAGUACGAGAGGACCGGAGUGGACGCAUCACUGGUGUUCGGGUUGUCAUGCCAAUGGCACUGCCCGGUAGCUAAAUGCGGAAGAGAUAAGUGCUGAAAGCAUCUAAGCACGAAACUUGCCCCGAG